rnacentral:rRNA from 1 species
AGUGAACGCUGGCGGCGUGCCUAAUACAUGCAAGUCGAACGAAGUGGCGCACGGGUGAGUAAUCUAUUGUUAAUCUGCCCUACACAGAGGAACAACAGGUGGAAACGCCUGCUAAUACCUCAUAGUGUAGGGUGAGACUAUAUCGUAUCAGCUAGUUGGUAAGGUACUGGCUUACCAAGGCUAUGACGCGUAACAGGUCUGAGAGGAUGAUGAGUCAAAUUGGAAGUGAGACACGGUCCAAACUCCUACGGGAGGCAGCCGUAAGUCAUAUGGCGCAAGCGGGGAAACCCUGAAGCAGCAACGGAGCGUGAAGGAUGACACUUAGCGGAGCGUAAACUCCUUUUAUCAGGAAAGCGGUACCUGACCAAUAAGCACCGGCUAACUCCGUGCCAGCAGCCGCGGUAAUAC